rnacentral:lncRNA from 1 species
UGUGAAGAGGACAGAGAAUAACUUUAUUGAGCAAUGAAACAGCUUUCAGCAGAGAGGCAUGUGGGGUUGGUCUGCCUACCGGAAGGCAGGAAUGCCCUCUUUGUUGCUGGGUGGGGGCCUUUGGACUCAGAAUGGAGAGUGUGUGUUGAUUUAUUUUUGAGUACGCCAAAAAGGUUACAGUGAAGACAACUCUUAAAACGUGGGCACAGCAGUGUAGAAAGUCAAUUAGGAAAGGGUAGGUAUAUGAGAAAUAGGGGAAGGCUGGGGACUAAUCAGAGAAAACAUGUCAAAUGGAGAAACAGAUUCUCAAUCCAGUCUAAGGAUUUAACUUGUAGCUUGGCCUUUCAGGCUUUAAACUGUCCUUGGCUUGGAGGUGGAGUUUCACUGGGGACCCUUCCCCAUCCGCCUAAGCAUUUGGCUGCCUCCUGUCGCUCUCACGUUUUCAAAUGAGAUAAAAGCUUUCAUGUUCUUAAGUUGAUGGAAAUGAUUCUGU